rnacentral:rRNA from 1 species
CAGUAGCCGCGGUAAUACGAAGGGGGCUAGCGUUACUCGGAAUUACUGGGCGUAAAGGGCGCGUAGGCGGCACGAUUAGUCAGGCGUGAAAUUCCUGGGUUCAACCUGGGGACUGCGCUUGAUACGGUCGAGCUAGAGGAUGGAAGAGGGUUGUGGAAUUCCCAGUGUAGAGGUGAAAUUCGUAGAUAUUGGGAAGAACACCGGUGGCGAAGGCGGCAACCUGGUCCAUUACUGACGCUGAGGCGCGACAGCGUGGGGAGCAAACAGGAUUAGAUACCCCCGUAGUCCCUGUCUCUUAUAC